UGGGGGAUAUUGCACAAUGGACGGAAGCCUGAUGCAGCAACGCCGCGUGCGGGAUGACGGCCUUCGGGUUGUAAACCGCUUUUUCUCAUGACGAAGUUUUUUGACGGUAGUGGGGGAAGAAGCACCGGCUAACUACGUGCCAGCAGCCGCGGUGAUACGUAGGGUGCGAGCGUUGUCCGGAAUUAUUGGGCGUAAAGAGCUUGUAGGCGGUUUGUCGCGUCGAUAGUGCAAACUCAGUGCUUAACGCUGAGCCUGCUGUUGAUACGGGCAGACUAGAGGAAGGUAGGGGAGAAUGGAAUUCCCGGUGGAGCGGUGGAAUGCGCAGAUAUCGGGAGGAACACCGGUGGCGAAGGCGGUUCUCUGGGCCUUUCCUGACGCUGAGAAGCGAAAGCGUGGGGAGCGAACAGG
rnacentral:rRNA from 1 species